UACGUAGGGACCAAGCGUUGUUCGGAUUUACUGGGCGUAAAGGGCGCGUAGGCGGCUUAACAAGUCACUUGUGAAAUCUCCGGGCUUAACUCGGAACGGCCAAGUGAAACUGUCAAGCUAGAGUGCGGAAGGGGCAAUCGGAAUUCUUGGUGUAGCGGUGAAAUGCGUAGAUAUCAAGAGGAACACCUGAGGUGAAGACGGGUUGCUGGGCCGACACUGACGCUGAUGCGCGAAGCCAGGGAGCAAAGCGGG
rnacentral:rRNA from 1 species